GUGGGGAAUCUUGCGCAAUGGGCGAAAGCCUGACGCAGCCAUGCCGCGUGAAUGAUGAAGGUCUUAGGAUUGUAAAAUUCUUUCACCGGGGACGAUAAUGACGGUACCCGGAGAAGAAGCUCCGGCUAACUUCGUGCCAGCAGCCGCGGUAAUACGAAGGGGGCUAGCGUUAUCCGGAUUCACUGGGUUUAAAGGGUGCGUAGGCGGAUAAAUAAGUCAGUGGUGAAAUCAACGGGCUCAACCUGUUAACUGCCAUUGAUACUGUGUAUCUUGAAUAUGAGAGAGGUAGGCGGAAUGUUGCAUGUAGCGGUGAAAUGCUUAGAUAUGCUACGGAACACCGAUUGCGAAGGCAGCUUACUAUUUCGUAAUUGACGCUGAGGCACGAAAGCGUGGGUAGCGAACAGGAUUAGAAACCCUAGUAGUCC
rnacentral:rRNA from 1 species